CUUUUAAAAAUUAUGAUGUUCAGGAACUUGAAUUAGCAAUCAAAAACCUGAUGGAAUUUUAUAGAUUGACAUGGCCAGAAGCUACUAUAACACCAAAAAUGCAUUUACUUGAAAGCCACGCAUCUCAGUUCAUUGAAAAAUGGAGAUUAGGAAUAUGAGUUUAUGGUGAACAAGGUGGUGAAAGUUUGCACGCCGAGUUCAACAAUCUAAAUAGAUUAUUCCGGCAUAUGAAGGGAUGUAGCCGGCUUAAAAGCACUAUCAAAGAACAUUUUCUAAGAAAUCACCUUAAGGCGAAAGGUGUGAAGCCAAUCGUAAAAAAAAGGAAAAAGAAUUUAUAAACAUUUUGCUAAUUUUACAUAUAAUAAUAUUUGUUAUAUUUUAAAAUAUAAAAGAUCAACACAAAUCGGCAUAGCUUUGCCUCGCA